CUCCUACAGGAGAGGCAGCAGUGGGGAAUAUUGCACAAUGGGGGAAACCCUGAUGCAGCGACGCCGCGUGGAGGAAGAAGGUCUUCGGAUUGUAAACUCCUGUUGAUGAGGAAGAUAAAUAGACGGUAACUCAACAAGGAAGUGACGGCUAAAUACGUGCCAGCAGCCGCGGUAAAACGUAGGUACACAAGCGUAUGUCCGGAAUUACUGGGUGUAAAGGGAGCGCAGGCGGGAAGACAAGUUGGAAGUGAAAUCUAUGGGCUCAACCCAUAAACUGCUUUCAAAAACUGUUUUUCUUGAGUAGUGCAGAGGUAGGCGGAAUUCCCGGUGUAGCGGUGGAAUGCGUAGAUAUCGGGAGGAACACCAGUGGCGAAGGCGGCCUAUCUGGGCACCAACUGACGCUGAGGCUCGAAAGUGUGGGUAGCAAACAGGAUUAGAUACCCUGGUAGUCCACACCGUAAACGAUGAUUACUAGGUGUUGGAGGAUUGACCCCUUCAGUGCCGCAGUUAACACAAUAAGUAAUCCACCUGGGGAGUACGACCGCAAGGUUGAAACUCAAAGGAAUUGACGGGGGCCCGCACAAGCAGUGGAGUAUGUGGUUUAAUUCGACGCAACGCGAAGAACCUUACCAAGUCUUGACAUCCUGCGACGCACAUAGAAAUAUGUGUUUCUUCGGGACGCAGAGACAGGUGGUGCAUGGUUGUCGUCAGCUCGUGUCGUGAGAUGUUGGGUUAAGUCCCGCAACGAGCGCAACCCUUACUGUCAGUUACUACGCAAGAGGACUCUGGCAGGACCGCCGUUGACAAAACGGAGGAAGGUGGAA
rnacentral:rRNA from 1 species